AGGAAGGCAGCAGCGCCAGAUGCGCCUUGCGGUGGGCCUGGGC
rnacentral:SRP_RNA from 15 species